GACGAACGCUGGCGGCGUGCUUAACACAUGCAAGUCGAGCGGAGUGGCGAACGGGUGAGUAACGCGUGAGUAACUGCCCCCCUCUCUGGGAUAACAGUUGGACACGGCUGCUAAUACCUGAUAGUGGGGGAUGACUCGCGUCUUAUCUGCUUGUUGGUUGGGUAGUGGCCUACCAAGGCGACGACGGGUAGCCGGCCUGAGAAGGAGACAGGCCACAUGGGUCUGAGAUACGGACCAAACUCGUACGGGAGGCAGCAGUGGGGAAUAUUGCACAAUGGGGGAAAGCCUGAGGAAGAAACGCCGGGGGCGGGAGGACGGCCUUGGGGUUGUAAACCGCUUUCAGCCAUGACGCGGUAGUGGCAGAAGAAGCACCGGCUAACUACGUGCCAGCAGCCGCGGUAAUAC
rnacentral:rRNA from 1 species